CCCCGGGCAUAUUGGGCGUAAGAGCUCGUAGGCGGUUUGUCGCGUCUGCCGUGAAAGUCCGGGGCUCAACUCCGGAUCUGCGGUGGGUACGGGCAGACUAGAGUGAUGUAGGGGAGACUGGAAUUCCUGGUGUAGCGGUGAAAUGCGCAGAUAUCAGGAGGAACACCGAUGGCGAAGGCAGGUCUCUGGGCAUUAGCUGACGCUGAGGAGCGAAAGCAUGGGGAGCGAACAGGAUUAGAUACCCUGGUAGUCCAUGCCGUAAACGUUGGGCACUAGGUGUGGGGGACAUUCCACGUUUUCCGCGCCGUAGCUAACGCAUUAAGUGCCCCGCCUGGGGAGUACGGCCGCAAGGCUAAAACUCAAAGGAAUUGACGGGGGCCCGCACAAGCGGCGGAGCAUGCGGAUUAAUUCGAUGCAACGCGAAGAACCUUACCAAGGCUUGACAUGAACCGGUAAGACCUGGAAACAGGUCCCCCACUUGUGGCCGGUUUACAGGUGGUGCAUGGUUGUCGUCAGCUCGUGUCGUGAGAUGUUGGGUUGAGUCCCGCAACGAGCGCAACCCUCGUUCCAUGUUGCCAGCGCGUUAUGGCGGGGACUCAUGGGAGACUGCCGGGGUCAACUCGGAGGAAGGUGGGGACGACGUCAAAUCAUCAUGCCCCUUAUGUCUUGGGCUUCACGCAUGCUACAAUGGCCGGUACAAAGGGUUGCGAUACUGUGAGGUGGAGCUAAUCCCAAAAAGCCGGUCUCAGUUCGGAUUGGGGUCUGCAACUCGACCCCAUGAAGUCGGAGUCGCUAGUAAUCGCAGAUCAGCAACGCUGCGGUGAAUACGUUCCCGGGCCUUGUACACACCGCCCGUCACACCACGAAAGCCGGUUGUACCAGAAGUCGCUGAGCCAACCGCAAGGGGCAAGCGCCCAAGGUAUGGUCGGUGAUUGGGGUGAAGUCGUAACAAGGUAACC
rnacentral:rRNA from 1 species